rnacentral:rRNA from 1 species
AUUAAAAUACCCUGGUAGUAUUUAUAUUUUAAAAAACUAAUAUACAAUGGCGGCAUUUUAUCUUAUUAGAGGAACAUGUUAUUUAAUCGAUAAUACACGAUCAAUUUCACUUAUUUUAAAAUUUUAUAUACCGCCGUCCCUAAUUUAAUAUAAACAUAUUUUUAAAAAAAAAAUCUAAAAAGUUAGGUAAAGGUGUAAACAAUAAAUAAGACUUUAAUGUGUUACUUUAAACAUAAUUUAAGGAAUUUUAAAUGAAAUUUUUAAUGAAAAAGGAUUUAAAAGUAAAAUUAGUAUAACAUACCUAUUUGAAUAARAAAAUAAAUGUGC